rnacentral:rRNA from 1 species
GGGCCCGCACAAGCGGUGGAGCAUGUGGUUUAAUUCGAUGAUACGCGAGGAACCUUACCAGGGCUUAAAUGCAGAACGACAGAGGUGGAAACACCUCCUUCUUCGGACGGUCUGCAAGGUGCUGCAUGGUUGUCGUCAGCUCGUGCUGUGAAGUGUCGGGUUAAGUCCCAUAACGAGCGCAACCCCUAUUUCUAGUUGCCAGCGGUUCGGCCGGGGACUCUAACGAAACUGCCGGUGCAAACCGUGAGGAAGGUGGGGAUGACGUCAAGUCCUCAUGGCCCUUAUGUCCGGGGCUACACACGUGCUACAAUGGUCGGUACAGAGCGUCGCGAACUCGUGAGGGUAAGCUAAUCCCAAAAAGCUAUCUCAGUUCGGAUUGUCGUCUGCAACUCGACGGCAUGAAGUCGGAAUCGCUAGUAAUCGC